rnacentral:rRNA from 1 species
GACGAACGCUGGCGGCGUGCUUAACACAUGCAAGUCGAGCGGUAAGGCCCUUUCGGGGGUACACGAGCGGCGAACGGGUGAGUAACACGUAGGUGACCUGCCCUCAGCUCUGGGAUAAGCCUGGGAAACCGGGUCUAAUACCGGAUAUGACUCCAUGACGCAUGUUGUGGGGUGGAAAGCCUUGUGCGGCUGAGGAUGGGCCCGCGGCCUAUCAGCUUGUUGGUGGGGUGAUGGCCUACCAAGGCGACGACGGGUAGCCGGCCUGAGAGGGCGACCGGCCACACUGGGACUGAGACACGGCCCAGACUCCUACGGGAGGCAGCAGUGGGGAAUCUUGCGCAAUGGGCGAAAGCCUGACGCAGCGACGCCGCGUGAGGGAUGACGGCCU